GUUCUCGUAGUGUAGUGGUUAUCACAUCCGCUUAACACGCGGAAGGUCGCAGGUUCGAGCCCUGCCGAGAACA